CUCUAGGUUGCAAGAGUGGAGGACAAAACAGAACCUCAAGGGAGCCUAGUCUCUGAGUUCUGGGCCUGGAGGCUACUUUCCCUCCACUGCAGGUCCUUGCAGUCCCAAAGUAACCUGACAACUGCUGCUGUCUAGGCACAAGGGGAGGAAGAGAGGGGUGCAGCAGGAAGGAUGAAGAUCACUGUCUCCAGCAGCAACAGUCUUACAUACUCAUGCCCAGCAACAGCUGGAUGUCACACUACACAGGGUACAAAGGACAAGAGUAUCGCCCAUGGACUGGAGCAAAACCAUCCAAGCCUAUAAAGUCAAAGCAAGGUUUCAUUAUCCCAGAAGACCAUUUUGUUCAAGAGACAAGCUACAAGGCAGACUUUAAGAUCCCAGAGGUGAAGACCAGGUUCUCCCCCAACCCUUCUGCCGUUUUCCAGGCGCCAUCACGGAUCCUCAACGUGUGAACCUGGACCCUCCUCACACCCAGGCAGCUUAAACAUGGAGUUUCUGUUAAGAUGUACCACUAUGCAAUUUUCAUGAGGAGUGUUAAGAUCAAAGACUUGGUGUUAUCAAAAGCAGCUCCAGUGAUUAAUGAUGUGCACACACACUUUCUGUUAACACAACAAACCGCAAAGCGCUUGGUUCAGAAUUGCCAGAACAUGCUGCAAGGAGUGACCUAGUUUUUCACAGGAGCAGGUUCAUUACUAUGCCAGCUGGCAUCACAUUAGGAGAUUGACUUUGGGCGGCAAAGGCAGGCUUGCAGGCAACAGCCCUACUCAGAAAUACACAAGGUAGGAGGGAAAACGGUGGCAAGCAGGAUGGAUAAUUAAAACCCAAACCAGUUUUAUUUAGCAACACCCUCUAAGUAGGCCACUGAAAGACAGGGGGUAGUCUGGCUGACUUCUGAGCUUCUUGGGGGGUUUUGGGAGUAAGACCUCAAAUGGCAUCACCAGAAAGCACAGCUUCAAAGGGGCUGGUCUGAACUUCCAAAGUUGUUUUAGAAGCUGGAGGAAGCCAGUGUCAUUGAACUCUAAAAUAAAUCAGGCACAUGCAGUGUCUUGGGCCUUUAA
rnacentral:lncRNA from 1 species